rfam:Clostridium sp. CAG:632 genomic scaffold, scf19
GGCCCAGUGGCUCAGUUGGUUAGAGCGUCGCCCUGUCACGGCGAAGGUCGAGGGUUCGAGUCCCUUCUGGGUCG